GACGAACGCUGGCGGCGUGCUUAACACAUGCAAGUCGAACGAUGAAGCCUAACUUGCUAGGUGUUUUAGUUGCGGACGGGUGAGUAAUACAUGAGUAACCUACCUUUAACUCUGGGAUAAGCCUGUGCAACUGGGUCUAAUACCGAAUACGACCAAUCUCCGCCUGGGGUGUUCGUGGGAAGCUUUAUGUAGUGGUUAUAGAUGGUCUCACGGCCUAUCUGCUUGUUGGUGAGGUAACGGCACACCAAGGCGACGACGGAUAGCCCGCCUGAGAAGGUGACCAGGGACCCUGGGACUAAGGGACGGAGCAGUCGGCUACGGGAGGCAGCAGGGGGGAAUAUUGCACAGCGGGCGCGAGUCGGAGGCAGAGGCGUUGGGUUAGGAAUGCCCGCUUUUGGGUUGUAAACAUCUGUUAGCAGGGAAGAAGAGAAAUUGACGGUACCUAAAGAGAAAGCUCCGGCUAACUACGUG
rnacentral:rRNA from 1 species